CCUACGGGAGGCAGCAGUAGGGAAUCUUCCGCAAUGGACGAAAGUCUGACGGAGCAACGCCGCGUGAACGAAGAAGGUCUUCGGAUCGUAAAGUUCUGUUGUUAGGGAAGAACAAGUACCGUUCAAAUAGGGCGGUACCUUGACGGUACCUAUCGAGGAAGCCCCGGCUAACUACGUGCCAGCAGCCGCGGUAAU
rnacentral:rRNA from 1 species